GACGAACGCUGGCGGCGUGCCUAAUACAUGCAAGUUGAGCGCUGAAGGUUGGUACUUGUACCAACUGGAUGAGCAGCGAACGGGUGAGUAACGCGUGGGGAAUCUGCCUUUGAGCGGGGGACAACAUUUGGAAACGAAUGCUAAUACCGCAUAAAAACUUUAAACACAAGUUUUAAGUUUGAAAGAUGCAAUUGCAUCACUCAAAGAUGAUCCCGCGCUGUAUUAGCUAGUUGGUGAGGUAAAGGCUCACCAAGGCGAUGAUACAUAGCCGACCUGAGAGGGUGAUCGGCCACAUUGGGACUGAGACACGGCCAAAACGCCUACGGGAGGAAGCAGUAGGGAAUCUUCGGCAAUGGACGAAAGUCUGACCGAGCAACGCCGCGUGAGUGAAGAAGGUUGUCGGAUCGUAAAACUCUGUUGGUAGAGAAGAACGUUGGUGAGAGUGGAAAGCUCAUCAAGUGACGGUAACUACCCAGAAAGGGACGGCUAACUACGUG
rnacentral:rRNA from 1 species